ensembl:lncRNA
UUUUUUUUUUUUUGAGACAGAGUUUCACUCUUGUUGUCCAGGCUGGAGUACAAUGGUGAAAUCUCAGCUCGCUGCAACCUCUGCCUCUUGGGUUCAAGCGAUUCUCCUGCCUCAGCCUCCCAAGUAGCUGGGAUUACAGGCAUGCACCAGCACGCCCAGCUAAUUUUAUAUUUUUAGUAAAGACAGGGUUUCACCAUGUUGGUCAGACUGGUCUUGAACUCCUGACCUCAGGUUAUUUGCUGACCUCGGCCUCCCAAAGUGCUGGGAUUAUAGGCAUGAGCCACCGCGCCCGGAGAUUUUUUCUUCUUCUUCUUUUGUAGAGACAGGUCACACUAUGUUGCCCAGGCUGGUCUCAAACUCCUGGGCUCAAGCAAUUCUCCUGCCUCAGCCUACCAAAGUGUUGAAAUUACAGACAUGAGCCACCGCGCCCGGCCUUACGUCUUAUCUCUUGUCACAUAGUGGCCCCUGCUCCACAGGAAGCAGGAGGAGUGUUUUUUCGGGAGUACCUUUCCUCCCCAUCCUGAAAACAAAUGUGAUUUUCCUCGUAAAGAAGUAGAGCAAGUGUGUGUGGAGCUGUUAACAUGCAAUGCCUGCCACAUAAAACAUGAUCCCCAUUUUGGUGAGGAAAUCACAGCCUGGAGAGGUGUGGUGAUUUACACAGCCUGGAUUCGAUUGCACUGAGCCUGCCCCACCCUCACCCUGCUCUGAUUCAGGGACCCUGGCCUGGCUCUCAUCUUUGGCGGUUGCUGUCGUCACAGCGCACUGGCCUUGCAUGAUGGAUGAACAGGCAACCUCAUUAAACACAAGCCCUUGUUGGUUUCCCAAAGCCCACAGGAGCCGCAAGGCCCGGGAUCUGGGAGCAGGGAGGCUGAACAGGGCCCCAUCUGUCCUGUUCCCUCCGGCUUUUGCUCAGACAGGCAUUUGUCUGCCAUGGCAAGAGGGCAGACUCAGACACUUCAUCUCUGGGCAAUUAGGGGGCUGCACGCAGAAAGAGUAAUGACUGGCCGGCGGGGAUUUAUCAGGGGCCAGCGUGGCUGGGCAAGGCUUGAGGUUUGACAUCCACCUCUCUUCCGAGGGGAAGGAGCCGGUUGGCAUCCCCGCCUGGCAGUGGAGCCUCGUUAGCUCUGCUUUCUACUGUCCCUUCCCCCUCCAACGCUCUGCUCCCUGCCCCACCUCCUUGUCUCUGCCCUGGAUCAGAGGCCAGGCACUAGCUGGAUGGUCACACCUGCCUCCUCCACGCUGCCCCCUUGAACCACUCUCCGCACUGGCUGCUCACAAGUCUGAUCACAUCACACACAUCCUCCCCACCUUUAAAUCCUUCCAUGGCUCCCUACUGCCCUAAUCAUAAGCAGCUGUUGUUUUUUGGUGGUCCUAGGUGACCAGCUUCCCCAGGGGCAAUUUCUCCCCUUUGGUUUGAUUUGUGUCAAAGAUGAGUCUUAGACACUGCCUGAUGCUUAAGUGGUUUUCCCUUUUUUUUUUUUUUUUUUUUUUUUAAAAGAGAUGGGAUCAUGCUAUGUUACCCAGGCUGGUCUUGAACUCCUGACCUCAACCCAUCUUCCUCCCUUGGCCUCCCAAAGUUCUGAGUUACAGGCACGAACCACUGUGCCCGGCCUCAAGUGAUUUAUUUUGGCUGUGCUAUUACGAGACAGACAUCAAUGACAUGGGCCAGAUACACUUAAGGGGUCAGAGGACCAGCUGACCAGGAGGGUCUCUGUGUAGAGACCAUCCUCAGAGUUUGGGGGAUCCUUCUCCCUUUCCUAGACCUAGGUUCAGUCUAGGUUCGUUGCCAGGUGUUUCUUUCAAAAAAGAAGUUCAAGCUAUUCUUGUAAGGGGAAGCUUUGUUUCAAGGUUUAUGAAAGUUGCAUCUGUGCUGGGGUGGUCUUGUUUCCUGGAAAUCCCCUGGCCAGGGUUGGAAAUCCUGGGGCCAGUCUGCAUUAACUGUUAAGUGACACCUGGUGUCCGGCCUGUGAGAUGCUUAAGUGGGUCCUAUGGCUCUUGUUAAUCUCAUAGUUGGCAG